GCAAGAAAAUGUACUUUUAACACUGUUGAACUACGGUUUUUUAGAUGGGAACGUUCUAUAAGAUAACGAAGGAGUCCUCAGAAGAACUUGAAGUGAAGCAGACCUCCCUCAGUCGGGGAAAAGUUAUAGAUAAUUUCAAGGCUCACAAUCCAUAUAAAAUUAAGCAUUGUA